rfam:Triticum urartu cultivar G1812 contig112181, whole genome shotgun sequence.
UGAGUACUCCCUCCGUCCUGAAAUACUUGUCCUUGAAAUGAUAAAAUAGAUGUAUCUAUAACUAAAAUAAGUCUCUAUACAACCAUUUCGAGGACAAGUAUUUCCGGACGGAGGGAGUAGCUU